UACGGAGGGUGCGAGCGUUGCUCGGAAUCAUUGGGCGUAAAGCGUACGCAGGCGGCUAUUCAAGUCGGGUGUGAAAGCCCAGGGCUCAACCCUGGAAAUGCGCCCGAGACUGGAUGGCUUGAGUGCGGGAGAGGGAAGCGGAAUUCCUGGUGUAGAGGUGAAAUUCGUAGAUAUCAGGAGGAACACCGGUGGCGAAAGCGGCUUCCUGGCCCGACACUGACGCUCAUGUACGAAAGCGUGGGGAGCAAACAGG
rnacentral:rRNA from 1 species